GUGCAGCCAUGGCUUUAGCGGUAAAGCUGUUAGGAAACUUCAUUCCUAUGUCUCCCUGGAGAAACUGUGAUUUCUAGGUCACUAUGACAAUCCCCAAACAUGCAGCUUUAUUUUGGAACACAACAGUGCAUACUCUUCAUAGAUUGCAAGGGUUUAAUGAUGACAAAAACCUGUUUAUAGCACAGUCUAUUUCUUUCAUUUUCCUUGAAAAUACCAAACUGGUUGUUACAGAGACCCAAGGCUGAAAUAUUCCAAAGCAACGUUUCACUCAUCCUUCCUCCCAGAUUCUUUUCUCUGCUGCAGUCAAUUCCCCCUUUUUCCAUUUGUAGAGACAAAAGGGAACAUUCUAUAACCACUGGCCUCUGUCCAGGAACACAGGAGAAAAUGAAGCAAGGCAAACAACAGAGAAAAGUGAACAACAAAAGAACAAACUCAAACGAAACUGCUUAACAAUCCUACAGUGCAGACCUGGCAGAAAUAUAAAGCCCACAGUCAUGUCCUCCAGACUGGCUCUUCUGUCUGCUGAUUAGCUUUGAUACCAUCUUCAAUAGUUAGCCAGUGACUCCAGUGUCAGCAAAUUUCCUUCUUCUAUUAGAGACUCACCAUUCCACCAGAGGAGGGACCUCUGCAUUGGGGAAUUUACUUGCCAAUCAUCUCUCAAGUAGAUCCUGGAGACUUGGGGAUGAAAGAUGUUACCUAAAUACAAAGUGUUCUCAUCAAAUGCUUUUAUAAUGUAAAAUUAGCUAGGCUCAAAGGAGCAGGAAUAUGACUACAUUUAAUGUAAUUGUAUUUAUUGGCUUAGUUAUAAUUGGCAAAGUUCAUCCUGAAAUAUUUUCCAUGAAGUUAAGAGAGUUAAAUAUCUUGGAAACCCUCUCCUUAGACUCCCCUAUGCCCCUGGAUUCUAAAUUAUUUCUGAUAGAUGGAAACAUUUUAGUUCCUUUGCCUUUCAUUAAUCCAAUAUUUGAUGAUAGGCCCAUACUUCAGGGUUGCCCAACUCCGGGGGACCCUGUUCACAGGGCUGUCCCAUGGAAUUGUGCAACACAGGGUUCUGUAUGGAUCCAAAAGUGACUUUUUAAAACAAUUCUGUAUGAUGUUCUCAAUUUUUGAUAUGGCUAUUGGAAUUUAAUUCUGAUUAAAUAUGCUCAAGCUAUAGGGUCAUCUACAGUUGAGGAUCAUAGUGAUCAACACUUCAAAGUGUGCUAGACAUUACUAGUUGCUUGGGAUAUCAACAGGUAUUUUGUAAAAGAAAAGAUUCAUGACGUCAGCCUUGGCAAAUAAUUUAUGGCUAAGUCCUCAAAAGCAAUUGCAACAAAACCAAAAAUUGACAAGUGGGACCUAAUUAAACUAAAGAGCUUCUGCACAGCAAAAGAAACUAUCAACAGAGUAAACAGACAACCCACAGAAUGGGAGGGAACGUUCUCAAACUAUGCAUCCAACAAAGGUCUAACAUCCAGAAUCUAUAAAUAAACAAUUCAACAAGCAAAAAAUAAUCCCAUUAAAAAGUGGGCAAAGGACAUAAACAGACUCUCCUCAAAAGAAGACACACAAGUGGGCAACAGACAUUUGAAAAAAUCCUCAGCAUCACUGAUCAUCAGUGAAAGGCAAAUCAAAACCACAAUGGCAUAUACUGUCUCAUACCCAUCAGAAUGGCUAUUAUUUAAAAGUCAAAAAAUAACAGCUACUGGCAAGGCUUCGAAGAAAAGGGAACACUUACACACUGUGCGUGGGAAUGUAAAUUAGUUUAGCCGCUGUGGAAAGCAGUUCGGAGAUUUCUCAAAGAACUCAGAACUACUAUUUAACCUAGCAUCCUAUUACUGGGUUUAUAUCCAAAGGAUAAUACAUUGUUCUAUCAAAAAGACACUUGAACUUGAAUGUUCAUUGCAGUAUUAUUCACAAUAGCAAAGACAUGUAAUUGACCCAGGUGCUGAUCAAUGGUGGACUAGAUAAAGAAAAUCUGGUACAUACACACCACGAAAUACUACACAACCAUAAAAAAGAAUGAAAUCAUGUCCUUUGCAGCAAUAUAGAUGCAGCUGGAAGCCAUUAUUCUAAGCAAAUUAAUGCAGAAACAGAAAAUCAAAUACCACAUGUUCUCACAAGUGGGAGCUAAACAUUGGGUACACAUGGACAUAAAGAUGGGAACACAGACAUUGGGGGUUACUAGAGGGUGAGGGUUGAAAAACUACAUAUUGGGUACUAUGCCCAGUACCUGGGUGACAGGAUCAUUUGUACCUCAAACCUCAGCACCAUGCAGUAUACCUGUGUAACAAACCUGCACAUGUAUCCCCUGAAAAGUUGAAAUUAUAAAAAAGUAGAAAAACUCCAUAAUUAAAAUUAAAACUCAAUUUAGGAGAUAGUGAUUGAGUAAAGUUAAGCAGCUCUUCCUAUUGCA
rnacentral:lncRNA from 1 species